rnacentral:sRNA from 1 species
AAAAGAGUUUCCAAGUAAUCCUAGUGUUUUAAGUAGAAUCUUAAUCUUGGAUUGUUAACUCAAUGAAUUCUCAUUUCAGAUUUGUUCUUGCCUCGAGACUUCAGUCUGAUUGGAUGUUGAUGCUGUAUUUUGCACAUACUCAUUUGACUGUGACAGUCACCAUCGGGUUGCUUUUGAUUCCAAAGUUUUCACAUUCAAGCAAUAACCCACGAGAUGAUAUUGCUACAGAAGCAUAUGAGGAUGAGCUAGACAUGGGCCGAUCUGGAUCCUACCUGAACAGCAGUAUCAAUUCAGCCUGGAGUGAGCACAGCUUGGAUCCAGAGGACAUUCGGGAUGAGCUGAAAAAACUCUAUGCCCAACUGGAAAUAUAUAAAAGAAAGAAGAUGAUCACAAACAACCCCCACCUCCAGAAAAAGCGGUGCUCGAAGAAGGGCCUAGGUCGUUCCAUCAUGAGACGCAUUACCGAGAUCCCAGAGACAGUCAGCCGGCAGUGCUCUAAAGAGGACAAGGAGGGCGCCGACCAUGGCACAGCCAAAGGCACUGCCCUCAUCAGGAAGAACCCCCCAGAGUCUUCAGGGAACACAGGGAAAUCCAAGGAGGAGACCCUGAAAAACCGAGUCUUCUCACUCAAGAAAUCCCACAGCACUUAUGACCACGUGAGAGACCAAACGGAAGAGUCCAGUAGCCUACCCACAGAAAGCCAAGAGGAGGAGGAGGCGACAGAAAAUUCCACACUGGAAUCCCUGUCGGGUAAAAAACUAACACAAAAACUAAAAGAAGACAGUGAGGCUGAGUCCACGGAGUCGGUGCCAUUGGUGUGCAAGUCAGCAAGCGCUCACAACCUCAGCUCAGAGAAGAAACCUGGGCACCCACGAACAUCGAUGUUACAGAAGUCUCUCAGUGUCAUAGCAAGCGCCAAGGAGAAGACUCUUGGAUUAGCUGGGAAAACCCAAACAGCAGGUGUGGAAGAACGCACUAAAUCCCAGAAACCUCUGCCAAAAGAUAAAGAGGCAAACAGAAAUCACUCAAAUUCUGAUAACACAGAGACUAAAGAUCCUGCCCCCCAAAACUCAAAUCCUGCAGAGGAGCCAAGAAAGCCUCAGAAAUCUGGGAUUAUGAAACAACAAAGGGUCAACCCCACCACUGCCAAUUCUGACCUGAACCCAGGUGCCACCCAGAUGAAGGACAACUUUGACAUUGGGGAGGUGUGUCCUUGGGAGGUUUAUGACCUGACCCCUGGUCCUGUGCCUUCAGAAUCAAAAGUUCAAAAGCACGUGUCUAUUGUGGCUUCUGAAAUGGAGAAAAACCCCACUUUUUCCUUAAAGGAGAAAUCUCACCACAAGCCUAAGGCAGCUGAGGUUUGUCAGCAAUCCAAUCAGAAGCGCAUAGAUAAGGCUGAAGUAUGCCUUUGGGAGAGCCAAGGCCAGUCCAUUUUGGAAGAUAAGAAGCUUUUGAUUUCCAAGACUCCAGUUCUCCCAGAGAGGGCAAAAGAGGAGAAUGGAGGUCAGCCUCAUGCAGCCAAUGUGUGUGCUGGGCAGAGUGAAGAACUGCCCCCCAAAGCUGUAGCAUCAAAAACAGAGAAUGAAAAUCUCAACCAAAUAGGACACCAGGAAAAAAAGACAUCUUCUGAGGAGAAUGUGCGUGGCUCCUAUAACUCAAGUAAUAACUUCCAACAACCUUUAACAUCACGAGCGGAGGUUUGUCCUUGGGAGUUUGAGACCCCAGCUCAACCAAAUGCUGGAAGAAGUGUAGCUUUACCUGCCUCUUCUGCUCUAAGUGCUAAUAAGAUAGCAGGGCCUAGGAAAGAAGAGGUCUGGGAUACUUUCAAAGUGUAGCAUCUCCAGGAAGAAGACGAAAAGGAGGGAACCCCGGAUUGGAUAUGAGACAGAAGAUAUAAGAAUCAAAAAUUCCCAAGGAGGAUUUGUCAAUCAAGGAAAACAUGACAGAUGGUGAGGUAAAGUCAAAGGCAUGGGUAGAAGAGGACCAGGGGAGCAAGAGCAACAACGUCAUAAUGGAGAAGUCAGACUUUGGUCAAGAAAGUCCUUCCCCUGGUAACACUAGGAAAAUCUUUCCAUUUCAGCAUGUUUAAGGAAAAUAGCCCACAGUGUCUGCCCUGAUCAAUACGUACCCAUGGGACUUUGAAGAUCCUAAGCUAAGUAAACCAGGAGACACAGAAGACGUACCAGAUUUGCAAAGAAGGAAAAGGUAUAGACAUAUAUAACUGAAAUUCUAAGUAGCUGACCGAGAAGAACUUACUUUACCUAUUUAACCUUGAUAGCACUGCUAACUUAAUGCAUCCCAAAAAUAUCUUUUAUAUUAAUGAUUGCUCUCAUUUUCUUAUAAAUGUAUGUUUCAGUACAUCAUUGUGUCUCAUAUUCAAGCAUUCCAGAUUGUAUAAUUUUUGCAAAUAACUUUGGUAUUAUGUGACACAACACAUUUAUGCAAUCUGCAGCUACUCAAUUGUUAUUGCACCUUACAGAAUACCUGCUAUCUAUCAACUUUAGUUGAUUCUUGAAGUACAGUAAGCUUUCUCUGGCUUGGGAAGCCAUAACUGUUACUAUAAAAACUUUUAGUUUUGGCUGUGGUUUAUAUAUUGUGACUUUGAAUUUGACUCUAUUAUUUCACAUCAUGGUUUGUUAUACUGUCUUAAUCAGGGUUUUUUAUACAAGUUGAGUUACUUGUUUUGCACUUCUUGUUAGGACUCAGAAGCUUUAUUAAUAUUGGAGAUCAAGUGGUCCUACUUAGUCAUAUGUCUCAAUAAGUUAAGGACAACUUAUCCGUUGUUUAUUCAAAGUCAGAGAUAGAUAACGCCUUCAUUCCAAUUAAUUGUCCCUUUUAACUCUUUCAGUAUUUCCUACUUAGCAGCAUUUCCAAAGGAAGAAGCUAAGAGUGAGAAAAAUAUACCGUGCAUUAUUAUUACCAUUGGAAAGGGAAGACUCUAGGGAUGACAUGAGAAUUAUAGCAGUACUAUAGACCCAGGAAGUUUGCCUUUCAAAAAAAACACAGGUAGCUCCUGAUAGCACUUUCAAGGGAUUAUUUUUUUAAAGAGAAAAAUUAUGGUAGCAUUAAGAUCAUUGUAUGGAUAUAUUUUUAUUAUGUAUACUGAAAAUACAGUAUUUUAAAAUACCUUAAACUAUUUAUUCUCAUAAACUCUUAUUCAUUGCUUCAGCUAGAGGUAGAACUUGCUGGGCUCAAAUCCCAAAGAGGUUUCAUAACCUUAUUUAAUCAAAGCCUAUAAGGUGGUAUGGAAUCUUCAUUCUCCCAAGCACUGAAAAAUGUCUAAGUCCUGCAAAUUGCCAUUGUGAGCCACUUGCUCGACAUGUAACAUGUGAGGUCUAUUUGCAAUGCAAAGCAGCCCCCAAAGCAUAUUUUAUAAAGCUUAUUGCAUUCCACACUGAUCUCUUGGCAUGGGAAUCCUAAGCUGCCGACUUAGCCCUACCAACAUGAUCAUGCAAUGAGAUUCCAAAGCUCAGUCUCAUUUCAUUUAAAGAAGAAUCACUCAGAAAUAGAACCGAGACUUCCCUUUUUCUCCCUGUAAACACCCAAGUAUCAACUGCUUAUUUGGCCAGGACACUCCCAGCACAAAUAACUAUUUUUUAUGUCACAAGCAGCAAGGAGGACAUGCUAGGGUGAUAAAAAGAUGGAGAAACAGAAUCAGAGGGUGGAUAUAGGGCUGUUCUUAGAGAGUAUUUUCAGUGGAAGGUAAAAACAGAAUUCUCCAUAUUCAUCAUCAAAUUUUUCUCAGUGAUUUUUUUAUUCAGGAGUAAGCAAGCACUUCACUAUUUCACAAAGCUGUGUGCAAAUCUUCCUCACCCAUUUGCUGACUUUAUGCAUUACUCAGGUUGGUGGGGUCGGUUUAAGAAGAUAUAGAAAUUCUAUUUUUGUGUCUUUACACUAUUUAUUUCUUUUAUCUCUUCCUUUUCAAUGAAGGCCUAUAUGCUUGGUGACCUCCUUUAAGGAGUCUUUGUGAAUUGGGUUGGAAGUUCCUAGACCCACAUAUUUGUUUCAUUUAUGUCUGAAAUCUGUUAGCACUUGAUUCUUUUCUUGAGAAAUAUGCAGUCAAGCAUCAGUGACUUUCUAUUGCACUUCAGGAUUGAUCCUGCUAGAGAUGUGACUUAAAAAGACUUGCCAAAUUAUACCUUAGCGACAUUCUAUAGUUCAUAGAUUAUUCUCCACCAGCAUAAAUCAGUGAGAGUGCCUAGAGUCUUUCUGAGAGUUUCAUUGCCAUUAUCAACAAGAGAAGUUGAAAUUUACAAGUCAGGAGGUUAUUUUUGCAGAUUGAUAACCAUAGAAAGUGAAUAAACACUUUUAAGGUCGCAAACAUUUGCUACGUUGUCCUUCUCAAUGCAUGUGCAGGCUGCAUCCUGUCCUUGUUUUUAAGCCAGGGUUUAUAAAUAAGUAGAUUUAUACCAAUCUUAAUAGAAUUGUAUAUUUUAUGCAAGAAUUAAAUGCUUUACAACAUGAAGUAUAACUCAACCCACUGUAAACUUUGGUGGCAAUAUGGAUUUGAAACUCGACAGUUCUCUUGUAUUUGCUUCCUAGGUUUCUGCAUGCAAGUUAUGACAGGUAGGACUGAAAAAACACUGCCUUUUGACUUCUAGCAUUUAGCAACCGAGAGUCGUAGAGUCAAUAAAGCUGUAAGUCUCUUCACUUAAUCUGUGGUUCUCCUAAAACUAUUAUCUGAAACCUACAGCAUCCCACCAUGAAAUAUUUGGUAAAUUUAUGUUGUGACGUGUUGCAGCAUGUAAAUAAUUAUAACUUCUCUGCAAUAAAACAUAUUUAUAUG